rnacentral:rRNA from 1 species
UACGUAUGGUGCAAGCGUUAUCCGGAUUUACUGGGCGUAAAGGGAGCGCAGGCGGUGCGCCAAGUCUGAUGUGAAACCCCGGGGCUCAACCCCGGGCAUGCAUUGGAAACUGGCGGGCUGGAGUGCCGGAGAGGUAAGCGGAAUUCCUAGUGUAGCGGUGAAAUGCGUAGAUAUCAGGAGGAACACCAGUGGCGAAGGCGGCUUGCUGGACGAUGACUGACGUUGAGGCUCGAAAGCGUGGGGAGCAAACAGG